AUUGAACGCUGGCGGCGUGCCUAAUACAUGCAAGUCGAACGAGUGGCGGACGGGUGAGUAAUGUAUGGGGAUCUGCCCGAUAGAGGGGGAUAACUACUGGAAAAGUUGGCUAAUACCGCAUACUAUCGGCUGCAUCCAUAUGGGAUUAGCUAGUAGGUGGGGUAAAGGAUCACCUAGGCGACGAUCUCUAGCUGGUCGGAGAGUAUGAGCAGCCACACUGUGACUGUGACACGGCCCAGACUCCUACGGGAGGCAGCAGUGGGGAAUAUUGCACAAUGGGCGCAAGCCUGAUGCAGCCAUGCCGCGUGUAUGAAGAGGGCCUUAGGGUUGUAAAGUACGUUCAGCGGGGAGGCGUUACCCGCAGAAGAAGCACCGGCUAACUCCGUGCCAGCAGCCGCGGUAAUAC
rnacentral:rRNA from 1 species